CGCUGGCGGCGUGCCUAAUACAUGCAAGUCGAGCGGACAGAUGGGAGCUUGCUCCCUGAUGUUAGCGGCGGACGGGUGAGUAACACGUGGGUAACCUGCCUGUAAGACUGGGAUAACUCCGGGAAACCGGGGCUAAUACCGGAUGCUUGAUUGAACCGCAUGGUUCAAUUAUAAAAGGUGGCUUUUAGCUACCACUUACAGAUGGACCCGCGGCGCAUUAGCUAGUUGGUGAGGUAACGGCUCACCAAGGCAACGAUGCGUAGCCAACCUGAGAGGGUGAUCGGCCACACUGGGACUGAGACACGGCCCAAACUCCUACGGGAGGCAGCAGUAGGGAAUCUUCCGCAAUGGACGAAAGUCUGACGGAGCAACGCCGCGUGAGUGAUGAAGGUUUUCGGAUCGUAAAACUCUGUUGUUAGGGAAGAACAAGUACCGUUCGAAUAGGGCGGUACCUUGACGGUACCUAACCAGAAAGCCACGGCUAACUACGUGCCAGCAGCCGCGGUAAUACGUAGGUGGCAAGCGUUGUCCGGAAUUAUUGGGCGUAAAGCGCGCGCAGGCGGUUUCUUAAGUCUGAUGUGAAAGCCCCCGGCUCAACCGGGGAGGGUCAUUGGAAACUGGGGAACUUGAGUGCAGAAGAGGAGAGUGGAAUUCCACGUGUAGCGGUGAAAUGCGUAGAGAUGUGGAGGAACACCAGUGGCGAAGGCGACUCUCUGGUCU
rnacentral:rRNA from 1 species